ACUAACAGGAUUCCCCUAGUAACGGCGAGUGAAGCGGGAAGAGCUCAAAUUUGAAAUCUGGCAGUCUUCGAUUGUCCGAGUUGUAAUCUAUAGAGGCGUUUUCCGUGCCGGACCGUGUCCAAGUCUCCUGGAAAGGAGUAUCAAAGAGGGUGAUAAUCCCGUACUUAACACGACCACCGGUGCUCUGUGAUACGUCUUCUACGAGUCGAGUUGUUUGGGAAUGCAGCUCAAAAUGGGUGGUGAAUUCCAUCUAAAGCUAAAUAUUGGCGAGAGACCGAUAGCGAACAAGUACCGUGAGGGAAAGAUGAAAAGCACUUUGGAAAGAGAGUUAAACAGUACGUGAAAUUGUUGAAAGGGAAACGAUUGAAGUCAGUCGUGUUCUUUGGAUUCAGCCAGUUCUGCUGGUCUACUUCCUUGGAACGGGUCAACAUCAGUUUUGUCCGGUGGAUAAAGGUAGUAGGAAUGUGACUUCUCCGGAAGUGUUAUAGCCUAUUAUCACAUACACUGGGUGAGACUGAGGACUGCAGCUCGCCUUUAUGGCCGGCCUUCGGGCACGUUCGAGCUUAGGAUGUUGACAUAAUGGUU
rnacentral:rRNA from 1 species